rnacentral:rRNA from 1 species
GAUGAACGCUGGCGGCGUGCCUAAUACAUGCAAGUCGAGCGAACGGACGAGAAGCUUGCUUCUCUGAUGUUAGCGGCGGACGGGUGAGUAACACGUGGAUAACCUACCUAUAAGACUGGGAUAACUUCGGGAAACCGUAGCUAAUACCGGAUAAUAUUUUGAACCGCAUGGUUCAAAAGUGAAAGACGGUCUUGCUGUCACUUAUAGAUGGAUCCGCGCUGCAUUAGCUAGUUGGUAAGGUAACGGCUUACCAAGGCAACGAUGCAUAGCCGACCUGAGAGGGUGAUCGGCCACACUGGAACUGAGACACGGUCCAGACUCCUACGGGAGGCAGCAGUAGGGAAUCUUCCGCAAUGGGCGAAAGCCUGACGGAGCAACGCCGCGUGAGUGAUGAAGGUCUUCGGAUCGUAAAACUCUGUUAUUAGGGAAGAACAUAUGUGUAAGUAACUGUGCACAUCUUGACGGUACCUAAUCAGAAAGCCACGGCUAACUACGUGCCAGCAGCCGCGGUAAUACGUAGGUGGCAAGCGUUAUCCGGAAUUAUUGGGCGUAAAGCGCGCGUAGGCGGUUUUUUAAGUCUGAUGUGGAAGCCCACGGCUCAACCGUGGAGGGUCAUUGGAAACUGGAAAACUUGAGUGCAGAAGAGGAAAGUGGAAUUCCAUGUGUAGCGGUGAAAUGCGCAGAGAUAUGGAGGAACACCAGUGGCGAAGGCGACUUUCUGGUCUGUAACUGACGCUGAUGUGCGAAAGCGUGGGGAUCAAACAGGAUUAGAUACCCUGGUAGUCCACGCCGUAAACGAUGAGUGCUAAGUGUUAGGGGGUUUCCGCCCCUUAGUGCUGCAGCUAACGCAUUAAGCACUCCGCCUGGGGAGUACGACCGCAAGGUUGAAACUCAAAGGAAUUGACGGGGACCCGCACAAGCGGUGGAGCAUGUGGUUUAAUUCGAAGCAACGCGAAGAACCUUACCAAAUCUUGACAUCCUUUGACAACUCUAGAGAUAGAGCCUUCCCCUUCGGGGGACAAAGUGACAGGUGGUGCAUGGUUGUCGUCAGCUCGUGUCGUGAGAUGUUGGGUUAAGUCCCGCAACGAGCGCAACCCUUAAGCUUAGUUGCCAUCAUUAAGUUGGGCACUCUAAGUUGACUGCCGGUGACAAACCGGAGGAAGGUGGGGAUGACGUCAAAUCAUCAUGCCCCUUAUGAUUUGGGCUACACACGUGCUACAAUGGACAAUACAAAGGGCAGCGAAACCGCGAGGUCAAGCAAAUCCCAUAAAGUUGUUCUCAGUUCGGAUUGUAGUCUGCAACUCGACUACAUGAAGCUGGAAUCGCUAGUAAUCGUAGAUCAGCAUGCUACGGUGAAUACGUUCCCGGGUCU